GAAUGCAUGUAAGAAUUAAAGAUUUUGCUCUUUUCAUUUUGGUGGUGGGCUUGACUUGUCUUCACUCAGGGCACUAUGGGGAUGGGUUGGCUGUCCGUUAGUGCCUUCUGAUUUUUGCGGAGUCAAACAAUU
rnacentral:snoRNA from 1 species